rnacentral:rRNA from 1 species
CCUACGGGAGGCUGCAGUGAGGAAUAUUGGUUAAUGGACGCUAGUCUGAACCAGCCAUGCCGCGUGCAGGAAGACGGCUCUAUGAGUUGUAAACUGCUUUUGUACGAGGGUAAACUCAGAUACGUGUAUCUGUCUGAAAGUAUCUUACGAAUAAGGAUCGGCUAACUCCGUGCCAGCAGCCGCGGUAAUACGGAGGAUUCAAGCGUUAUCCGGAUUUAUUGGGUUUAAAGGGUGCGUAGGCGGUCGGAUAAGUUAGUGGUGAAAUCCCGAGGCUCAACUUCGGAAUUGCCGUUGAUACUGGUCGGCUAGAGAGCAGUUGAGGUAGGCGGAAUGUAUGGUGUAGCGGUGAAAUGCUUAGAUAUCAUACAGAACACCGAUUGCGAAGGCAGCUUACCAAGCUACUUCUGACGUUGAGGCACGAAAGCGUGGGGAGCAAACAGGAUUAGAUACCCCUGUAGUC